AGUGAACGCUGGCGGCAGGCCUAACACAUGCAAGUCGAGCGGCAGCGCGGGGGCAACCCUGGCGGCGAGCGGCGGACGGGUGAGGAAUUCGUCGGAAUCUGCCUUUUUGUGGGGGAUAACGUAGGGAAACUUACGCUAAUACCGCAUACGACCUACGGGUGAAAGUGGGGGACCGCAAGGCCUCACGCAGAAAGAUGAGCCGACGACCGAUUAGCUAGUUGGUGGGGUAAAGGCCCACCAAGGCGACGAUCGGUAGCUGGUCUGAGAGGAUGAUCAGCCACACUGGGACUGAGACACGGCCCAGACUCCUACGGGAGGCAGCAGUGGGGAAUUUUGGACAAUGGGGGCAACCCUGAUCCAGCAAUGCCGCGUGAGUGAAGAAGGCCUUCGGGUUGUAAAGGCUCUUUUGUCAGGGAGAACAGCAGCUCUAACACAGUCUGCGAAUGACGGUACCUGAAGAAUAAGCACCGGCUAACUACGUG
rnacentral:rRNA from 1 species